GAAUAACGGAGGAAGGUUUAGGAUUUAGUCUUUUGAAGGUGGAUUUGAAAGUAAUUGUUUUAUAAGGUAAUUAGGUGAAUUGUGCAACAACAUGUGUACAUAUUGCCCGUCGCUCUCAUUUAUUGAGAUAAGUCGUAACAUAGUUGAUGCACUGGAAAGUGUAUCUUUUGU
rnacentral:rRNA from 1 species